GUUGGGUAUGGAGAUAUCUAUCCACAGACUCUGCUUGGUAAAAUAGUCGGUGGGCUUUGCUGCAUCGCAGGCGUGUUGGUGAUCGCUUUACCAAUUCCCAUCAUCGUCAACAAC
rfam:Ictalurus punctatus delayed rectifier potassium channel Kv2 mRNA, complete cds.